UGUAAUAUGUCAUAGGAAGGCGGCAUGAUCAGAUGGACUGCUUUCCCAUCAGCCCCAACUUGUGCUGUCAGGUCGAGCUCAAGGCAGCUCAGCGUUGCCGCAAUUGUUUCGAUUUGAACGUCGAAGCGCUCGCACUGUUCAUCAGUCUAUCUCACAGUGUGAUGCGUACCAGGUCAUAAAGUCCUUCAAAUCUAUGCGAGGACUAGUGAGAAUGGCUUCUCUUGGCACUUGGCAUGCUCAUAUCUACGACACUCCACCAAAACAGCCGACCCCGUAUUUUGUAGCCACUAUUCUCGGCCUAGACGCUACUCACAUGCCAGUAUUUACAACAAGAAGUUCUAAAUCCAAGACGGCGCUGGCCGAGUCCAACGGGCUAGACUCGAAUUUACCGAAUAACGAAACCAAAGAGACCACAAGUCGGGUUAAAAAAUCAGAGGCUCAAUCACAGCUCUCUGAUAGCGAUAAAGACACCUCGAUAAAGACUCAAGGCUCUCACUCGAAGAACCAGAAACGCGUUGUCAAGGGUAAAAUAGAUAAAGAUAACAGUAAAACUAGUAAGAAGAAAAAGAAAGCUCGGACGACUUUCACUGGCCGGCAGAUAUUCGAACUAGAGAAACAAUUCGACGCGAAAAAGUACUUGACGGCGAACGAACGCAGCGAUAUGGCUGCACUGUUGAACGUUACGGAAACUCAGGUGAAAAUUUGGUUUCAGAAUAGAAGGACUAAAUGGAAAAAGCAAGAGAAAYUGGUGGAGAAUGACUCAAAUGUGUCCACGGGAAACAACAUUGAACUGUCACACGAGUCCAUGGAUGAAAGCGGCUCAGACAGUAGAGCGAAUUCUCCCGACGGUCAAAAUCCUUCCAACGAAAAGAAUAUGGAAGAGGAAGAAGAUGUUUCUUCGGAGUAGAGGAAAAUCGUGGUAACUUGGGUAUCAGUAAAACUGUUAGUUCAGCUGGUAUGAAGCAGACGUUAAAAGCCCCCGAGUAUUGGUUGGUGUACUUGGAAAGCAAUUACUUCCAUCCAUUAACAAAGUAUAUAAACAGACAAUGCCAAAGCAAAUAAAGACUAGUGAGGUUGGAUGUCAGAAACGAUUUUCUUUUUAGAGUUUUUGCUGUUAUAUUGGAAGCCAAACGAAGAGUUCUUUUAGCACCUGCAGGAAAAAAUUACACAGGAAAUAACGCUCUUGUUUAUGAGUGACUUAGAAGAACACGAUCACACCAAGAAGGGCAUCUGGUGCAGAAAUACCAAGACAUGCUUGUUACACCUUAGAGAUUUUUGAUUAUUUUUGAUGGUGGGAAUAUUUUUGUUUGUUUACCUUGAGUUAUUGUAUCUUGCUCCUUCAUCAAUGUUUUCACUAAAUGGGUAACUAAAAUGAAAGACAAAAUAUUAAAUAUCUAGGCUUUCUUGAAACUGUCUCUGGCUGAUCAAACUCAGGGCACAGCUAACUCAAAGAUUGAAUCGGAAUUUAGAGUGUAAGGUUUUGCAGAGGGAUUAAAGCAGAGAACCUGGAGAAAAAUGUUUUAAUCAAGGGAAAGACCUAACAAAUGCCACUCACACGUGAUCUGUUGAGUCUAGGAAUUAAACCCAAGACACAGAGGUGAUAGGCAAGUGCACUAUGACUGUGGUGCUACUUUUGAUUCCCUUAUCUAGCUAUUAUCUAGCUGAUAGUAUGCCAGGAAUUGCACCAAUAGACAAGAACUUGUAGGUUUUCCACCCUCUACAAUUUAAAAACAAUAAUAUGCUAAAUAUCAGGCAAUUUUCAAUUGGUGAGAUAGCCAUGCCCUAACUUUGAUCUGCCCAGAGGUUGUUUGAGAGCAAUGAUAAAAAUUGAAAGUUCAACUUUAAGAAAAAAUGAUAGCAAAUUUACUUUUGAAAUACAAAGAUAAUGCAAAAACUGUUAUAGUGAAUGUUCUUUACCUUGGUGGGAAAGAUAUACUGUAUUCAUAUAAUUCCCGCUUAAAUUCCUCAAGUUCCUUGUUGUACUUUUGGAAUCUUUUUCCAUUGUCAUGAUGAAAAUGACUCUGAUCUUGUACUAUAAACUUACGAUGUUCUAAUGUCAGAACAAUCUGUACAACAGAAACAGUAACUAGUGUUCAGUAAAUAGGUUUAAAGGAUUAUGGAAGGGGAGGGGGAGGAAAGAGGUUUAUGCUUCACCCCAAAUAUUGACCACAUCAUACACUGUACUUCAUUUUAAGAAGGCAUUUAGCAAGAUAAGACAAGUAAAACAUUCUGACCAAUUUCUGGUUCAUUUGAA